UACGAAGGGGGCUAGCGUUGCUCGGAAUUACUGGGCGUAAAGCGCACGUAGGCGGUCUUUUAAGUCGGGGGUGAAAUCCUGGAGCUCAACUCCAGAACUGCCUUCGAUACUGGAAGACUUGAGUCCGGGAGAGGUGAGUGGAACUGCGAGUGUAGAGGUGAAAUUCGUAGAUAUUCGCAAGAACACCAGUGGCGAAGGCGGCUCACUGGCCCGAUACUGACGCUGAGGCACGAAAGCAUGGGGAGCGAACAGG
rnacentral:rRNA from 1 species